rnacentral:rRNA from 1 species
AGGACGAACGCUGGCGGCGUGCUUAACACAUGCAAGUCGAGCGGAAAGGCCCUUCGGGGUACUCGAGCGGCGAACGGGUGAGUAACACGUGAGUAACCUGCCCCUAGCUCUGGGAUAGCUCCGGGAAACCGGGAUUAAUACCAGAUACGACCACUUUAGACAUCUGUCGUGGUGGAAAGGAUUCCGGCUAGGGAUGGGCUCGCGGCCUAUCAGCUUGUUGGUGGGGUAACGCCUACCAAGGCGACGACGGUA